rnacentral:rRNA from 1 species
GUCCACGCCGUAAACGGUGGACGCUGGAUGUGGGGCACGUUCCACGUGUUCCGUGUCGGAGCUAACGCGUUAAGCGUCCCGCCUGGGGAGUACGGCCGCAAGGCUAAAACUCAAAGAAAUUGACGGGGCCCGCACAAGCGGCGGAGCAUGCGGAUUAAUUCGAUGCAACGCGAAGAACCUUACCUGGGCUUGACAUGUUCCCGACGAUGCCAGAGAUGGCGUUUCCCUUCGGGGCGGGUUCACAGGUGGUGCAUGGUCGUCGU